rnacentral:rRNA from 1 species
AGGCAGCAGUGAGGAAUAUUGGACAAUGGAUGGAAAUCUGAUCCAGUCAUGCCGCGUGCAGGAAGACUGCCUUAUGGGUUGUAAACUGCUUUUAUACGGGAGCAAUAAGGGUUACGUGUAGCCUGAUGAGAGUACUUAGA